GCUCAGGAUUAACGCUGGCGGCGUGCAUGAGACAUGCAAGUCGAACGGACGAGUGGGCUUGCUCACUCGUUAGUGGCGGACGGCUGAGUAACGCGUAGGUGACCUGCCCCGAAGUGGGGAAUAACUGCCCGAAAGGGUGGCUAAUACCGCAUGUGGUGCCACGUUCAUUCGUGUCUCCAAAGCCGCAAGGCGCUUCGGGAGGGGCCUGCGUCCGAUUAGCUCGUUGGUGGGGUAACGGCUCACCAAGGCGACGAUCGGUAGGUGGUCUGAGAGGACGAUCACCCAGACUGGGACUGAGACACGGCCCAGACUCCUACGGGAGGCAGCAGUCGGGAAUUUUGCUCAAUGGGCGCAAGCCUGAAGCAGCAACGCCGCGUGGGGGAUGAAGGCCUUCGGGUUGUAAACCUCUUUUCUUGGGGACGAUGAUGACGGUACCCGAGGAAUAAGUCACGGCUAACUACGUGCCAGCAGCCGCGGUAAUACGUAGGUGACGAGCGUUGUCCGGAUUUACUGGGCGUAAAGAGCGCGCAGGCGGUCGUGCAAGUCGAGUGUGAAAUCCCCCGGCUCAACUGGGGAACGUCGCUCGAUACUGUUUGACUUGAAGGCGGGAGAGGGAAGCGGAAUUCCCGGUGUAGUGGUGAAAUGCGUAGAUAUCGGGAGGAACACCAGUGGCGAAGGCGGCUUUCUGGCCCGUUCUUGACGCUGAGGCGCGAAAGCUAGGGUAGCAAACGGGAUUAGAUACCCCGGUAGUCCUAGCCGUAAACGAUGGACACUAGGUGUUGGUGGUAUCAACCCCGCCAGUGCCGAAGCUAACGCAUUAAGUAUCC
rnacentral:rRNA from 1 species